CGGGGUGUAGUAUAAUGGUAGUAUUUGCCCUCGGGGAGGGUAAGACCUGAGUUCAAUUCUCAGCACCCCGACCA
rnacentral:tRNA from 1 species